rnacentral:tRNA from 1 species
GCGCCCGUAGCUCAACUGGAUAGAGCACGUGACUACGGAUCACGAGGUUGGGGGUUCGAGUCCCUCCGGGCGCAUUA